GACGAACGCUGGCGGCGUGCUCAACACAUGCAAGUCGAACGAAGUGGCGAACGGGUGAGUAACGCGUAAUCAACCUGCCCUUCAGAGGGGGACAACAGGGGGAAACGACUGCUAAUACCGCAUAACGAAGGAUGGGAGCGCGGCGGAUUAGCUAGUGGGAGGGGUAACGGCCUACCAAGGCGAUGCUCAGUAGCCGGGCUGGGAGGAUGAACGGCCACAAUGGGACUGGUACACCGCCCAGACUCCUACGGGAGGCAGCAGGGGGGAAUCUGCCGCAAUGGACGAAAGUCUGACGGAGCAACUCCGCGUGAGUGAUGACGGCCUUCGGGUUGUAAAGCUCUGUUAAUCGGGACGCGGUACCGGAAUAGAAAGCCACGGCUAACUACGUGCCAGCAGCCGCGGUAAUAC
rnacentral:rRNA from 1 species